rnacentral:lncRNA from 12 species
CGGGGAGGGGGCAGCAGGCGUGGGGGGGUCGCCGGCCCAUGUCGCCGUUCCCGGGGGUCCCCCCCACGCCGCCCUGCAGGCUCUGCCUGGGGACACCCGGGCUCCUGGGGCCCCGCCGCGCCCCGCCCGCGCCUCCGCGCAGCGCUCACCUUGGCGUCCCCGGGGGCGGGGGCGGGGGCGGGCCGCGGCGGCUGCAGGCGGCGGAGGUACUGCCUGCGGAGGGCCAGCAGCUCCUGCAGGCCCGGCGGGGAGCGGUCACAAAGGCUUCACCUGGCAGGCCUCCUGCAGGCGCAUCCCCGGCUCUGCAGGACUCGUGCCGGCUGACCAUCUGCCCUCCCGGCCCAGCCGCCUCCAUCCGGAGGUCCACUUCUCGGGACCCUUGAAGACGUCUUGCCCCCAUGGCUCCGGUAUCAGGUACGUCUCCACGUCUAGGCCUCCGUUGUCCCCUCCUCCAGCCCCUCGAUCAAACGUGAGGCACAUCACGUUCACAGAUGAUCCGUGAAACCACAGGAGCCAUUACGCUGCGAGGCCUGUGUGCACACCUCCUCCGACGGCCCGACCACCCCCGCGUCCGCAGGGAUCGCGCGAACCCUGCCGGGAGCACCAUUCCGUGGGCAAAGGGGACCACGGUGGCCCGGUGCCGCGUCCCAGUUGGGCCUCCCGCUUACACCACUGUGGCCGGACUAUCUUAUUUUUCUAUUACAGUCACUGUCACCUUGAUAGCUGUUCCGAGGUCUCCCACCAGUAGACGGAGGUCUCCCUGGGGUCAAUAACUGAGACUCUUCUGCUGUGUGGAUGUCUCGUCCUUUACCUUCCCUGAGCCCCUUCCGGGGACGUCUCCUCCCAUCGUGGGCAGCAGCCGUGGGAGUCUCAGCUGAUCUGCCAUCGGAGCCAGUGGAAACACGUCAUCAACGUCCCCACCACGCCUUCCUUCAGGGGAAGCAUCCUCCUUAGGGUUGUCACGGCGGGGACAGUCCUGACCACACGUUAGUGCCAGGUGUGGGCACGUGACCCAAGGGAGGCUCCAGCCCUACGCCAUAGUGAUGAUCUCGGAACUCACGUGCCAGGCAAAAUCACAGCCUUCCCGAGGAUUUUUCUGCCAUGGAUAUGGGAAAAAUUUCUUUCUCUUCUUCUGGGAUCUCGAGUGCUAAAGUCUAUAAAUUCAAGCUGCUUUGAGACACUUUCCUUGAUUGGAAAAAGCUGUCUUCUGUGGGAAGAAUAAGGCCAACACUCAAAGGAAGCAGAAGAAGACAGAGAAAAAGAUUGAAAAAUCAACUCUUAAGGCCCAAAUGUACCGAAAGUGCACUUCAAUCUUGCAGCUACACGAAUCAAUACGUUCAUUUUCCUUUGAUUUGGGUCUGUGUGAGUUGAGUUUCUCGCUGGCAAACCAAGAAUUCUGAUUAAUACAUACAGUACAUCGCAGUUGUGUGUUUGUUUGACAUAAUGCUUUCCUGGAUAAUUGUGUUAAUGAGACGAGAUCUGAAAUUAAGACUCUAAAAUGAAGAUAAUAGCAUUCGAUUAAUUCUGUGACAUAUUCAUUUAUUCAAUUGUCAUUAUGAAGGGUGAGAUUUGGGAAGGAGGAUAAGAAAUCAUUUAUAGCACAAAGCUCUGAUACCUCGAUUGCAAAAUUCUAAUCUCUAUAAGAUGACUACAACGUAGCUAUUUCUGCUUGAGAAAUGAGUGGUUUCUGCCCAAUUCUGAAUCUCUGCCUUAUUGUGUGUUCUGAAUUAGUACUUCCGUGAAUGGGAAAUAUUAAUUCUCAUCAGAACCCAUUUGGAUUCUGACAAUGGUUGUGAUUUAUAUUUGCAUCUAAUUAUGUUCUACUUAAAAGGGACAAGAUUGGGUGUAGCAGAGACCGAAUCCUGUUGAGUCCUGAAGAGGUGAGGGGUCUCCAGAAACCAGAAGUCCGGUGAAGUUGGAAGAGGGUGGCUGCGAGAACAGUUCAUCUCGUCUCUUUUAUCCACUUAACAUCUUCAAAGCAGACGCUGUGUGGGUGCCCCUCUCCAGAUUUCCAAUGGCUGCUGUAGAUAUUUAUAUAAACAUCUACAGUAUUUUUUUCCCCAUGCUCCUGGGGGGAAAAAUUAUGUUUUACUUGAAGAAGCUUUAUGACUGUCCUGAUUCCUCCAGUUCUUGUAGUGAUUAAUCUCCAAGUUUCUCAAUAGCUUUGGUUCCAAACUCCUGCUGCACAUCAGGAUCAUCAGUAUUACCCGGGGAGCCUUCCUGGGAGUCCGGGUGUGGACGCCACUGCUGGAUAGCCUGUCGCUCGCAGUGAGGUCCGAGGACCAGCUGUGCUGGCAUCACCUGAGAGCUCUUGAGAAAUGCAAGACCAUUGGCUGCGCCAUAGACGCAUUGAAUCAAAAUCGGCAACAGAGACCCCCAUGUGAUUCUACGCACCUUAGUGUCUAAGGAGCAUCUACAGAACAUGGUCAACAGACCUGGUCCCUCUCUCCUCCAUUCCUACUCUCAAAAAUUCUGGCUUCUACCUAAUUAAGAACAUUAUGCAGUGCACUUCAAUUUGAUGUAUUCUUCACCUGGGCCUUGCUCCAACAAAAUUUAAAUCCUAUCUGAGACCAUAGGUAAGAAUAGGUUUUAAGCUUUGUAAAGGUCGUCUUCAAUGGCUCAUCCCAUUUAUUUUCAGAAGGAUGCUCCCUGUUGGCCUGGACCACUAAGGCAUCCAGAGCUUUAUCUUCUUGUGUUUCUUGAUCUUUGCUUCCCGUGUAGGUUUUACUUUCCAAGGCUGUUUUAUCUUAGACCUGACAUUGUCUUUCAUCUUGUGCUACUAAAUCUUCAAAAUCUUUCCUUUGACAGAUUUUCCGGGCUCUAGCCUUUCAUCUUUCUGGCCAGCUUUAAUUUUGACUAAUACAGAGACCCCACUUUCUACAGGCUCUCGGGCUAGAUGCAUGACCUAUUAUUCCGAGUUCUAAACUUCAUUUCGAGAAAAUUGUCUGUCAAUAUCCAUUUCCAGGCCACUCCGACUUGACUUCAAAAUGUCCGGAUAAAGGGGAUCCAUCAAUCACUUUGACAUCUUACCUUCCCACUGCUAGAUGCUUGAUGUUACUCAAACCGUCUUCUGAAGAUCUUCAAUUUUUCACUUUUCAUCUGGACAUUUCGAUGUCAUAUAGAUGCAGUAGAUUGGAAACACACACACACACAGAGUGAUUAGCUUAUUAUAUUCACAGCCACAAGGAGUAAGCAACGAUAACAGGAACAUGAGGAUUGUUAUGAAUUAAGUCUGCUUCUGGUCUUUACUUCCUCACUUCCAGAAACUUCACUGCCACACCCUUUCAAGAACCUCUCCCCUAAUUAGACCCUGGACGAGGCCAUCAUCAGGAAUUGGCCACUUCUGACACCUUGAAGGCCACCUUCCCACCAUCUGGUCAAUAAUUGUUUAUUGAUCAGCUUAUACUCCCUCAUCCGUGCCUGUUAACGUUGAUUCAGGUGCAAUCACCCAGAACGUGAACUCAGCCUUCCUGAGGUUCCCACAGAAAAUCAAAUUACCUAAGAAUGUCAUGGUUUCUGAGUCAUGGAAUCACACAGAAAGGUCGCAUCCCCUAUGGCACGAUAUCACCGUUCUCCCAAGCCCAGAGCUUCCCAGAGAGGACUCCAUCGUCCUCACUCAACAACACUAGCAUGUAAGUCAGAAAGGGUGUGAAUGGGGACACCUGGGGAGCUCAGCGGUUGAGCAUCUGCCUUCGGCUCAGGGCGUGAUCCCAGGGUGCCGGGAUCGAGUCCCACAUUAGGGUCUUUGCAUAGAGUCUGCUUCUCCCUCUGUCUAUGUCUCUGCCUCUCUCUCUGUGUCUCUCAUGAAUAAAUAAAUAAAUAUUUAGAAGAAAAAAAAAGAA